ACGAACGCUGGCGGCGUGCCUAAUCCAUGCAAGUAGAACGCACAGUUUAUACCGUAGCUUGCUACACCAUAAACUGUGAGUUGCGAACGGGUGAGUAACGUGUAGGUAACCUGCCUGGUAGCGGGGGAUAACUAUUGGAAACGAUAGCUAAUACCGCAUAAUAUUGAUUAUUGCAUGAUAAUUGAUUGAAAGAUGCUAUUGCAUCACUACCAGAUGGACCUGCGUUGUAUUAGCUAGUAGGUGAGGUAACGGCUCACCUAGGCGACGAUACAUAGCCGACCUGAGAGGGUGAUCGGCCACACUGGGACUGAGACACGGCCCAGACUCCUACGGGAGGCAGCAGUAGGGAAUCUUCGGCAAUGGACGAAAGUCUGACCGAGCAACGCCGCGUGAGUGAAGAAGGUUUUCGGAUCGUAAAGCUCUGUUGUAAGAGAAGAACGGGUGUGAGAGUGGAAAGUUCACACUGUGACGGUAUCUUACCAGAAAGGGACGGCUAACUACGUG
rnacentral:rRNA from 1 species